UACGUAGGGUGCGAGCGUUGUCCGGAAUUAUUGGGCGUAAAGAGCUUGUAGGCGGUUUGUCGCGUCUGCUGUGAAAAUCCGGGGCUCAACUCCGGACUUGCAGUGGGUACGGGCAGGCUAGAGUGUGGUAGGGGAGACUGGAAUUCCUGGUGUAGCGGUGAAAUGCGCAGAUAUCAGGAGGAACACCGGUGGCGAAGGCGGGUCUCUGGGCAGUAACUGACGCUGAGGAGCGAAAGCGUGGGGAGCAAACAGG
rnacentral:rRNA from 1 species